ACCUGAGCAUGGUGGUACACACCUGUAGUCCAGCUACUUUGGAGGUGGAGAUUGGGAUAGCCUGAGUCUAGGAGUUCUGGGCUGUAAUGUGCUAUGCCAAUACAUUGGGUGAUUCUACCCUAAGUUUUGCAUCAAUACAAUGACCUCCCUGGAGCAAAGGACCACCAGGUUGCCUAAAAAGGGGUGAACUGGCCCAGGUUGAAAAUGGAGCAGGUCAAAACUCCCAUGCUGAUUAGUGGUAGAAUGACACCUGUAAAUAGCCACUGCACUCCAGCCAGGGCAACAUAGUGAGAUUAUGUCUCUA
rfam:Otolemur garnettii contig170950, whole genome shotgun sequence.